GAUGAACGCUGGCGGCGUGCCUAAUACAUGCGAGUCGAGCGAACAGACUAGGAGCUUGCUCCUCUGACGUUAGCGGCGGACGGGUGAGUAACACGUGGAUAACCUACCUAUAAGACUGGGAUAACUUCGGGAAACCGGAGCUAAUACCGGAUAAUAUAUUGAACCGCAUGGUUCAAUAGUGAAAGACGGUUUUGCUGUCACUUAUAGAUGGAUCCGCGCCGCAUUAGCUAGUUGGUAAGGUAACGGCUUACCAAGGCAACGAUGCGUAGCCGACCUGAGAGGGUGAUCGGCCACACUGGAACUGAGACACGGUCCAGACUCCUACGGGAGGCAGCAGUAGGGAAUCUUCCGCAAUGGGCGAAAGCCUGACGGAGCAACGCCGCGUGAGUGAUGAAGGUCUUCGGAUCGUAAAACUCUGUUAUUAGGGAAGAACAAAUGUGUAAGUAACUAUGCACGUCUUGACGGUACCUAAUCAGAAAGCCACGGCUAACUACGUG
rnacentral:rRNA from 1 species